AUUGAACGCUGGCGGCAGGCUUAACACAUGCAAGUCGAGCGGGGUGAUGGUGCUUGCACUAUCCCUUAGCGGCGGACGGGUGAGUAAUGCUUAGGAAUCUGCCUAUUAGUGGGGGACAACAUCUCGAAAGGGAUGCUAAUACCGCAUACGUCAUACGGGAGAAAGCAGGUGAUCACUUGUGACCUUGCGCUACUAGAUGAGCCUAAGUCGGAUUAGCUAGUUGGUGGGGUAAAGGCCUACCAAGGCGACGAGCUGUAGCGGGUCUGAGAGGAUGAGCCGCCACACUGGGACUGGGACACGGCCCAGACUCCUACGGGAGGCAGCAGUGGGGAAUAUUGGACAAUGGGGGGAACCCUGAUCCAGCCAUGCCGCGUGUGUGAAGAAGGCCUUAUGGUUGUAAAGCACUUUAAGCGAGGAGGAGGCUCUUUUGGUUAAUACCCAAGAUGAGUGGACGUUACUCGCAGAAUAAGCACCGGCUAACUCUGUGCCAGCAGCCGCGGUAACAC
rnacentral:rRNA from 1 species